rnacentral:rRNA from 1 species
AGCGUGGAGACAGGUGGUGCAUGGUUGUCGUCAGCUCGUGUCGUGAGAUGUUGGGUUAAGUCCCGCAACGAGCGCAACCCUCACCUCUUGUUGCCAUCAGGUCAUGCUGGGCACUCUAGAGGAACUGCCCCGGCCAACGGGGAGGAAGGCGGGGAUGACGUCAAGUCAUCAUGCCCCUUACGUCCUGGGCUACACACGUGCUACAAUGGCUGGUACAAAGGGAUGCCACACCGCGAGGUAGAGCUAAACCCAAAAAGCCGGUCUAAGUUCAGAUUGGAGUCUGCAACUCGACUCCAUGAAGGAGGAAUCGCUAGUAAUCGCGUAUCAGCACGACGCGGUGAAUACGUUUCCGGGCCUUGUACACACCGCCCGUCACACCACGAAAGCCUGCUGUACUCGAAGUCGCUGAG